rnacentral:rRNA from 1 species
GACAGAGGGUGCGAACGUUGUUCGGAAUUACUGGGCGUAAAGCGUGUGUAGGCGGAUCGUUAAGUGCCUUGUGAAAUCCCACGGCUUAACUGUGGAACGGCUGGGCAUACUGGCGGUCUUGAGCCAUCUAGGGGCGACUGGAACAAACGGUGGAGCGGUGAAAUGCGUAGAUAUCGUUUGGAACGCCAAUGGUGAAAACAGGUCGCUGGGGAUGCGCUGACGCUGAGACACGAAAGCCAGGGGAGCAAACGGG